rnacentral:sRNA from 1 species
GCUACAACCGCUCAGAGCAGGUAAUAAGCUUUUGCUUUCGAGCAAAACGCCUGAUCAUGGCGAGUCUUAGUUUAUA